AGUGAACGCUGGCGGUAGGCCUAACACAUGCAAGUCGAACGGCAGCACAGUAAGAGCUUGCUCUUACGGGUGGCGAGUGGCGGACGGGUGAGGAAUACAUCGGAAUCUACUUUUUCGUGGGGGAUAACGUAGGGAAACUUACGCUAAUACCGCAUACGACCUACGGGUGAAAGCAGGGGAUCUUCGGACCUUGCGCGAUUGAAUGAGCCGAUGUCGGAUUAGCUAGUUGGCGGGGUAAAGGCUCACCAAGGCGACGAUCCGUAGCUGGUCUGAGAGGAUGAUCAGCCACACUGGAACUGAGACACGGUCCAGACUCCUACGGGAGGCAGCAGUGGGGAAUAUUGGACAAUGGGCGCAAGCCUGAUCCAGCCAUACCGCGUGGGUGAAGAAGGCCUUCGGGUUGUAAAGCCCUUUUGUUGGGAAAGAAAAGCAGCAGGUUAAUACCCCGCUGUUCUGACGUUACCCAAAGAAUAAGCACCGGCUAACUUCGUG
rnacentral:rRNA from 1 species